rnacentral:rRNA from 1 species
CGAGCGAACAGAUAAGGAGCUUGCUCCUUUGACGUUAGCGGCGGACGGGUGAGUAACACGUGGGUAACCUACCUAUAAGACUGGAAUAACUCCGGGAAACCGGGGCUAAUGCCGGAUAACAUUUAGAACCGCAUGGUUCUAAAGUGAAAGAUGGUUUUGCUAUCACUUAUAGAUGGACCCGCGCCGUAUUAGCUAGUUGGUAAGGUAACGGCUUACCAAGGCAACGAUACGUAGCCGACCUGAGAGGGUGAUCGGCCACACUGGAACUGAGACACGGUCCAGACUCCUACGGGAGGCAGCAGUAGGGAAUCUUCCGCAAUGGGCGAAAGCCUGACGGAGCAACGCCGCGUGAGUGAUGAAGGUCUUCGGAUCGUAAAACUCUGUUAUUAGGGAAGAACAAAUGUGUAAGUAACUAUGCACGUCUUGACGGUACCUAAUCAGAAAGCCACGGCUAACUACGUGCCAGCAGCCGCGGUAAUACGUAGGUGGCAAGCGUUAUCCGGAAUUAUUGGGCGUAAAGCGCGCGUAGGCGGUUUCUUAAGUCUGAUGUGAAAGCCCACGGCUCAACCGUGGAGGGUCAUUGGAAACUGGGAAACUUGAGUGCAGAAGAGGAAAGUGGAAUUCCAUGUGUAGCGGUGAAAUGCGCAGAGAUAUGGAGGAACACCAGUGGCGAAGGCGACUUUCUGGUCUGUAACUGACGCUGAUGUGCGAAAGCGUGGGGAUCAAACAGGAUUAGAUACCCUGGUAGU